UUGGUUUGUUACUGGUGGUCGGCUCAAUUGCUUGUGCACAACUUCCACCUGACAUGCAUGCUUGGACAUCAUUAAGGCUUCGAUUUCUUGAACCAAUUGUGGGUUUCAUGUGUUGCCUACCUAACAUACGGUAUUGGUUUUGCUUAUCUAUGUUUCGUUCGUCUUUUGUCAUGAUCAUGAAGUUAGAUGAACCCCAAACCUGUCUCUUUGAGCCAUAUCAUUAAUGUUUGUGUUGAUGUAGUGGUGCAUGGAGCCUAGCUUGGUAUCUUYGAUGUAGUGCUUAAUGUGGGCAUGGGUCUCAUGGAUCCUUGUUAUGUCUUUGUUUAGUGUUUACGCUCCCUAAAAUGACUGCUUGACGCGUGUUGGCUCGUAAAAGCGUGUUGGGCUCUGUCUAAGAGGACCGUUACCUGGU
rnacentral:misc_RNA from 1 species